AGCUUUUCGCAGCGUCUCCGACCGCCGGGCGCGGUGGCGCGUGCCUGUAGUCCCAGCUACUCGGGAGGCUGAGGUGGGAGGAUCGCUUGAGCCCAGGAGUUCUGGGCUGUAGUGCGCUAUGCCGAUCGGGUGUCCGCACUAAGUUCGGCAUCAAUAUGGUGACCUCCCGGGAGCGGGGGACCACCAGGUUGCCUAAGGAGGGGUGAACCGGCCCAGGUCGGAAACGGAGCAGGUCAAAACUCCCGUGCUGAUCAGUAGUGGGAUCGCGCCUGUGAAUAGCCACUGCACUCCAGCCUGAGCAACAUAGCGAGACCCCGUCUCUUUUGCCCCCCUCCCUCAUUGAGGGUACCUUUCGCUAAAUCUCACCAAUUGACGGGAUGCUUAGGGAUUUGCAACCGCCUCAUCGCUGCCCCCUACCUGCGCAUAUUCAAAACGUCUCUGCUAAAAGCUGUUAUUACCCACAGAGCCAACAGGGGCCGCUCGUUUACCCACAGACAGUCGGAAAAAAAUGGCCGCCGGAUCACAGAGAGCAAAAAGUACGUUCUCUUCAAGAAUUUCCGAGUUCUUCCCGCGGCCGUUCAGGAUGCUGCUUGCAGUUACCAACACUAUUCCCCUGCACUGAGUUGACCUGAGCUUCCCUGCCUACCUCCUGUCACGGAUGUCACCUUCUUUCACCCCUGUCCUGUCAAGGUUUUUGCUUUAAAAUGCUAUAGACCAAAGACGGGCAAAUCAACAGUCUUACACACAAAUCCUUUCGUUCUACUUGGCUACAAGCAGGGCUAAUCUUCCGAAGAGGAACCCCACUACUGCCUCCUUAUAAGGGAAAAACUCCUCUCAGAGGAACCCAGAACGCCCUGUGAUGACAGAGGUAGUUCAUUGCAUUUUGAACAAGGAUAACUGUCAGAAAAGAUCCUCUUUGAAUCGAACAGAUAUCUCCCCCAUGGCUGCUUCUGGGUCUGCCCUCUGCAACCACAUGGAAGAAGUCUGAUUCCAGUUCUUCAGGACAACUUUUCAAGAAUUUAAAAAAUCACCUGCAAAUGAAUGCAUUUUUACAAAAGGAAAAUAGGUAGAGGUGCUAUUUAAAAAAAAAAUCUUUACCUUCUCACCAACCUUAAAAUAAGAAGCAAAAUAAUUUUGGUAUAUCUUUUUUUUUUUUUUUUUUUGAGACAGAGUCUUGCUCUGUCACCCAGACUGGAGUUCUGGGGAGCGAUCUCUGCUCACUGCAACCUCUGCCUCCCGGGUUCAAGCGCUUCUCCUGCCUCAAGCCUCCCGAGUAGCUGGGAUUACAGGCACACACCACCAUGCCCGGCUAAUUUUUGUAUCUCUUUUGUUUUUCACUAAAUGGAUCCCUGAAUUGGACCCAGAAUGACUUAGCUAUGGAUGUAAGAACUGCUUUUGAGUAGCUGCCUCUAUUAGCCCUGAGGUUCCUACUUCCUGAAUUCCAUGACCUCUGGGAUAACUCAGCUUUGUGGAACUGAGGUGUGAUAGGCAGCAUAAUGACCACCUCCCCAAAGAUAUCUAUGUGCUAACCAACCAAGGAAUGUGGACAGCCCCUGAAGCUGGAAAAGGCAAGGAAAAGGAUUCUCUUCAAGAGUUUCCAGAAGAAAUUCAGCCCUCUUCACCCAUUUGGUACUUCUGAUCUCCAGAACUCUUAAAUAAUAAAUUUGGCCGCGUGUAGUGGCUCACACCUGUAAUUCCCAGCACUUUGAGAGGCCAAGGCAGGUGGAUUGCUUGAGCUCAGGAUUUGGAGACCAGCCUGCACAAAAUGGUGAAACCCUGUCUCUACAAAAAAUAUGAAAAUUAACCGUGUGUGGUAGUAUGUGCCUGCAGUCCCAGCUACCAGGGAGGCUGAGGUGGGAGGAUCACCUGAGCCCAGGAGAUUGAGGCUGCAGUGAGUUGUUAGUGUCCCACUGCAUUCCAGCCAAGGGGACAGAGUGAGACCCCAUCUCAAUAAUAAUAAUAAUAAAUUUAUGUUGUUUAAGCCUCUAAAUUUGUGGUAAUUUGAUACAGCAAAUUAUCACAGAAUAGGAAAGUAAUACAUGGGGGGAAUCAAGCUCAGUCUGUAACUGACAAAACUCUGAGAGAUCAGAAAGGUAUCCUUUCAGUAACUGUCUUCUUGAACUCCUGACCUCAAGUGAUGCGCCUACCUCAACCGUGCCCAGCCAGUAACUGUCUUCUUUAACAUACUUGUACUUUAAAAAAAAAAAAAAACUUUUAAGUUGAACACAUUUUCACAUUGAUAUUUUUUUCUGUGUGUGUGUGUGUGUGUGUGUGUGUGUGUGUGUGGACUACACUUUUAAGUUUUUAAUUAUGUUUAGGGUUAAGAUUAGGGUUAUGGUGGAAUAUUUUUGACAUAUAGUGACUUUAAACUUUUAUGGGCUGGGCGCAGUGGCUCACGCCUAUAAUCCUAACACUUUGGGAGGCUGAGGCGGGCAGAUCACCUAAGGUCGGGAGUUCAAGAUCAGCCUGACCAACAUGGAGAAACCCCCAUCUGUAAUAAAAAUACAAAAUUAGCCAGGUGUGGUGGUACAUGCCUAUAAUCCCAGCUACUGGGGAGACUGAGGCAGGAGAAUCGCUCAGACUCGGGAGGCAGAGGCUGAAGUGAGCCAAGAGUGAGCCAUUGCACUCUCAGCCUGGGCAACAAGAGUGAAACUCGGUCUCAAAAACAAAACAAAACAAAAACAAUACCCCUUUAAUGUAUUCAGA